GCCAAAAAGGCACAUCAUUUCACGUCGCAGAAACUCAGAAAGGAAUUUAUUUUUCCGAGGCCCAUACUUCGUGAGGUGUAAUAUUAUUAUGAUAAUACAAUGAUAGUUGAAUAUCAAUCAUGAAUAAUGUUCAAAAAAUAAAUGAACUCUCAGCAACCACUAAAUUGCGUCAUGAAAUGGUUUUAUGGAUGUCAUCAAAUGCGUUGAAUACAUUAUGCUAUAGUUCGUGAUCGCGAACGUACGUCAGAAAAGAAAAGAAUACGCGAUAACAUGACUGGAGUUAUCCAAUGUCUUUGGGCUCACUGUCACAUAGAACCAUAUUCUGAACUGAAAAUAUGUUGAACUGGGCAAGACAAACAAUUUGGCAAUUGUUGUGAUACAAUGUCUCUAUGCCGGUAACAAGCAAUAUUAGAAUCACGCUGAUUAUUAAAAUCAAUGCUAGAAUAAAGCAAAACUGCCCAUUUAGCAUUAUUAUAUUUAAUCUUGCUAUGGAGCCUGUACUACAAUUUAUAACUCAAAUAUAUUACAAGUAUAUGAUAGACCACGUGAUUCUGUGUUCAAUAGACAAUAGAAUAGAUAAUAGGCUUUUUGCUCAUUAUAUAUUCUGAUAGAUAUUUCACAAUUCUCAGAACUUAUGUCUAUUUAGCAGUUUAAGCCUACUUCUGAUUACUUGUAAUGAUUAAAUUGUAAUCGGAAGAAGAAUCAGGAGAACACCUUGCUCAGAAAAUAUUGUAAGGUGUCUCAAAUGCAGCGUGAAAGCGGUAUUUUCAAACGAGUUCACAAAAAUUAUUAACAAAUAGAUAACCUAAGCAUCGUGAUCAAAAGAUUGUUUAGUGGAAUGAAUAAAACUAGUCAAAUCAUCAAAUACAGACCUGCAGCUAAGGUUCAAAGAUUUCCCAAUUCAGGCUUCUCUUCAAAGCACAAUCUGCAGCUAAACUAAACUACAAAUAAUUACUUGCUAAACUAAAGAGAAUAUACAAGAUCACAUUAACAGUAACUCUAUUAAACCAUUUUGCUUAAGAUAGAAGUUUUUACUUUAAGAUAGGGUUUACAGACUAGCAUUUCUUUUACCAGAUCUAUCUUGACCAUUGCUGCUAGAUAGUAUUUGACGUUUUAGAAAUAAUAAGUAGCAGUCAUUGCAGUCAAUAAGACAUUGUCACACAUGCUUUGCCACUGCAAAUUAAAU